rnacentral:misc_RNA from 1 species
UCCGAUUUGUCACCGGCAGUCUGGUUAGAGUCCCCAACACUACUUGCUGGCAACACGGGAUAAGGGUUGCGCUCGUUGCGGGACUUAACCCGACAUCUCACGACACGAGCUGACGACAGCCAUGCAGCACCUGUGUUCGAGUUCCCGAAGGCACCAAUCCAUCUCUGGAAAGUUCUCGACAUGUCAAGGCCAGGUAAGGUUCUUCGCGUUGCAUCGAAUUAAACCACAUACUCCACCGCUUGUGCGGGCCCCCGUCAAUUCCUUUGAGUUUCAGUCUUGCGGCCGUACUCCCCAGGCGGGACACUUAACGCGUUAACUGCGGCACAGAGGGAUUCGACUCCCCCCACACCUAGUGUCCAUCGUUUACGGCUAGGACUAC